AUGAAGGUCCUGGCCCUACAGUGCUGGCUGCGUGCCUCUGCCCACGGCCUCAGCAGGAUGGAGCCAUCAGAGAAGCAGCAUGAGGAUGCAGUGGCUUUCAUGCUGCAGGGCAAAAAGUGCCCCCUGAAGAAGAAUGGUGUCACAGGCUGGAUUCUGAGGAACCUCCAGAAGACCUUCCAGAGGCCGACCUCCCUGCAGCUCUCUUCUCCCAUGGCUUUUUCUCAGUGUUGCACAGCCUCUUGUCCAAACCUGACGAUAAGUAGAAGUGAGGCCCAUGAAGAGAAGCAUGGGGAUGUGGUGCCUGUUGCCCUUCAGCAUGGUGGGACUCACUGCUCCUUAUUGCCAGCAUCAGCAGGAGAUGGCUGCUCCAUCAACACAGCACUCCAGGGCUGGUGGAGCAGUCUGCAGGUCCAGAUGGCAUCUUGUUCCUGUGCCCUCAGACCCCGUCUCACAUCUGCUUCUCCCCUGCCUUGUUCAGCAGGCUCCCCUUCCAAGGCCAAGCACUCCAGCCUCUUCUCCCUCUUCUCACCACCAUCACGGAUCUCUGAGCCUGAUUUCAGCUCUCUGCCUUGUGCUGGCUCCAAGAAAUCUAGCAGAGGGAGCUGGAAGAAGAGCUCUCAUUGCGAAGAGCCCCCUGGUUCCAAAUCAGAAGAAUCUGCACAUUUCCCCUUCACAGGACCCAUAAUUGCUCAGAUAACUGACUACAUCUACCUGGGAAACCUCAAUGCAGCCUACAGUGGCCGGGCGCUGUGCACAAAUGGCAUCGACAGCAUCAUUGACAUGAGCAGCCUGCCCAGUGAGCACAGCCUGAGCAUCAUCCCCUGCACCUGUGGGAGGGGAGGAUUCAGGCACAACUGGUCACGCCUCAGAGUUGACAUCCAGGCUUUCCUACAUGGAAAUCUUCAUGAAAUAAGGCAGCCAUGCUUCCUGGUCAUCAACGAGUGCAUCGAAGCCUUGAUGGAGAAAGGGAAGCGUGUUCUCAUUCACUGCAGGGAUGGUUACUCCUUAGGCCCGACCUGUGUCAUCCAAUACCUGAUGGUCAAGCACAGCAUGAGACUGCUAGCAGCCUAUGAACUUGUGAGGGCACGGUACCCACUGAAAAUCCAAGAAUGCCAUCAGGACCUACUGGUGGGUUUGGAGAUGUCCCUGCAGCCUGGUGGUGUCAACGUAGCAUGCCUGAAGCACUCCCUGUCAAGGAAGAUGGCAUGGAGCUAA
rnacentral:lncRNA from 1 species